CAGUAGCCGCGGUAAUACGAAGGGGGCUAGCGUUGCUCGGAAUGACUGGGCGUAAAGGGCGCGUAGACGGCGAUCAAAGUCAGGCGUGAAAUUCCUGGGCUCAACCUGGGGGCUGCGCUUGAUACUUGGUUGCUUGAGUGGGGAAGAGGGUCGUGGAAUUCCCAGUGUAGAGGUGAAAUUCGUAGAUAUUGGGAAGAACACCGGUGGCGAAGGCGGCGACCUGGUCCUUGACUGACGCUGAGGCGCGAAAGCGUGGGGAGCAAACAGGAUUAGAUACCCCUGUAGUCCCUGUCUCUUAUAC
rnacentral:rRNA from 1 species